rnacentral:rRNA from 1 species
AUGGAUCUGGCCAUGGGGGCCAUGAGCUCCCUCCUUGGCAAACUGGGCGAGGUUAUCAAGGAGUAUAAGCUACAGAAGGGAGUUAAGAAAAAGGUCAGGUCCUUCUCUGCCCAGCUGAUGAUUGUGCGCGCUGCUCUUGGCAAGGUGGCAGAGGUGCCGCAGGAUGAGCUCGACGAUCAGAUCAAGUUUUGGGCUAAUGAUGUUAGGGAGCUGUCUUACGACAUGGAGGAUGUCGUUGACUCUCUCCUGGUGCGUGUUGAGGGCUGCGAGCCCAAUGAUAAUCAGGCCAGCUUCAAGAAGCUCAUGGCCAAGAUGGUAAACGUGUUUAAAAAGGGCAAGGCUCGCAGUGAGAUUUCCACAGCAGUCGAAGAGAUCCACAAGCAGUUGCAAGAUGUCACCACCCGACAUAAAAUGUUUGAUUUUGUUAACCUACCUGCAGCAAAAAGGACCACCGCUGACCCUUUCUGGGAGGUUUUCUAUGGAGAUAAGAAGAAUAUCAUUGGCCUCGAUAAAGCAAGGGACGAUAUUAUCAAGAAGAUCAGUGACGGCGACCGUGUGUCCAAGGCGCAUCUCAAGAUACUCUCACUUGUUGGAUUUGGAGGAUUGGGCAAGACUACACUUGCCCGAGAAGUAUAUGAUGCCCUUCCAACAAAAUUUGAUUACAAAGCUUUUGUGACUGUGUCUCAGAAUCCCGACAUGAAGAAAGUAUUAAGCAAUCUUCUCUUUAAACUUGACAAGGGGAAAAAUACCAGUCUUCAUGUAAAUGCAGCAAACUUGGAGGUAGAGCAGCUCUUCAUGCUAGUCCGUGAAUUACUUCGCGAUAAAAGGUACUUUAUCAUUAUCGAUGAUCUAUGGGAUAAAGAAGCAUGGAAAACAAUCAGAUAUGCACUUCAGGACGACAAAUGUGGAAGUAUAAUAAUUACUACAACCCGCCAUGUCGAGAUCUCUGAAGAAUGUUCGUCUUCUAAAGAGGAUAUGAUUCAUCAGAUGAAACGUCUCUCUUAUGAUGACGCCCAGAAACUUUUCUAUGGAAGAAUAUUUUCAAGUGAGGUGUGUCGUUCUGGAUUCGAGGAUGUAUCUAGAAAGAUCUUGAAGAAAUGUGCUGGGGUACCAUUAGCCAUCAUCAGUCUGGCUAGUUAUUUGGCUAAUGAUCAAAGGAUCUACCAAAUUGAGCAAUGGUAUGUUUUGCUCAACUCUAUUGGCCGUGGACUUAAAAAAGGUGAUGAUCAUGUAAAGGAGAUGAAGAGGAUAUUAUCAUUGAGCUUUUAUGCCCUCCCUCCUUAUUUGAAGACUUGCUUUUUAUAUCUAAGUAUCUUUCCAGAAGACCAUAAAAUUAGCAGAGAUCGGUUGAUAAGAAGAUGGAUUUCUGAAGGCUUUAUCCAAGUAAAAGAUGAAACUGAUAGCCAGCUUGAGCUUGGAGAUAGCUACUUCAACGAGCUAGUAAACAGAAACAUGAUCAUGCCGAUAAACAUACAUGCUGAUGGUAGGGUUGAAGCUUGUUCCAUACAUGAUAUCAUGCUGGAUCUUAUAUAUGAAUUAGCAAGUGGAGAGAACUUUGUUACUAUACUGGAUGUUAUCAAGGAAGACACACCUUUGGAAAAGAAGUUCCGCAGAUUGUCCCUCCAGAAGAGCAUGACAGGUCUCACCAAUGCUCAUAUGGCUACCACAAGCAUGUCACAAGUGAGGUCUUUUACGGCUUUUAGUCCUGCUGUUAGUAAGAUCCCCCCUCUCUCUGUAUUUCAAGUUUUACGUGUAUUGGAUCUGGAAGGUUGUGAUCUUCGAAGAAGUCCUGGUGUGGACCUUAGGCAUGUUCAAAACCUGUUACAUUUGAGAUACCUUGGGUUGAGGGGCACAAAGGUUGGCAAGCUCCCUAUGGGAAUAGGAAAGCUACAGUUUUUGCAGACACUAGACUUGCAAUUGAGCAAUUCAAAAGAAUUGCCGUCCAGUGUUGUUCAGCUGAGGCGUUUGAUGUGCCUAAUCCUUGAUUCAGAUAUGCCACUUCCGAAAGGGUUCAGCAACCUGACAUGCCUUGAACAGCUGAUGGGGCACAAUAUGGGCUUUCUUUCUGAAGAAACCGCAAAAGAGCUGGGCCAUAUGACCAGGCUAAAAGAGCUCGCCUUUAGAUUGGAUUCAAGGGAUAUUGAGCGAACUGAUAAAGCUAGUAAAGCUUUGAUUGGAUCCCUAGCCAAGCUAAACAAACUCGAGAGCCUGGAGAUCUCCGCUCCUGGUCGUUGGUUUGAGUACUUCAUGAGGGCUUGGGUGCCGUCACCAAACCUAUGCAGGCUUAAAUUGUACGGACUUUUCGUGAGCUUUCCUACAUGGAUUUGUUCUUCGUCGCUUCCGCUACUAUCCUAUCUUGAUCUAACUGUCCUUCAAGUGCAAUCCGGGGAUAUCCAGAUCCUUGGGGUGCUGCCAGCUCUCCGUUAUGUCAAUCUCGACGCAGCCAUAACAAAAGUAGUGGCGGGGAAGUUAGUGGUUAGCGCCGGUGCCUUCCCGGAGGCGAGAGUAUGCCUUCUCCGCAGAAUUGUACUGGUGAACCCAACGUUCCAACAAGGAGCCAUGCCCAUGGUUCAGCGCCUUCGCUUUGGUGUCCAAGUGAAGGACAUUGUCAGUCCUGAUUUUGAUUUGAGCGUAGGGAAUCUUCCUUCGCUACAGCAACUCAGAAUUGACCUUCUCGGUGAUAAAGUCAAACCUGAGCAUUUUUCUCAAGCCGUCGAGGCGCUGAGCCGUGUGGCGGAGGGCCAUCCCAAAAGUCCCACCCUUCGUGCCGAUAAAUACUGA